rfam:Blastomyces dermatitidis ER-3 genomic scaffold supercont1.10, whole genome shotgun sequence.
GGCGCGAUGGCGGAGUGGUUAACGCGAGAGACUAGAACUGACGACGAAUGUCUUUAACUAUCCUUAUCUCUUCCCUUCGGGGGCGUAGGUUCGAAUCCUGCUCGCGUCG